ACUAGGAGUCAUGUGCUGGCAUUCAGCUGUGAUCUUUUUUGUAUGCACACCUUUAGUUGUAAAUUGUGGAAAGGGUAAAAUAUGUAAUGUGAUAGCAGAUAUUAUUGCAAGAGUCUGGAAUUUUAAAAAUGAGGAUGUUGAUACUUGCACACAGGAAGUUUUCUUUCUCAGGAUUAGAAAGAAAAUGCAGUAAAACCGAGUCAAAAGUGCUGCUCUGUUUAACCUAUCAAAUGAGCGUGUUCUGUUUUGGAAAUCAAAUGAUGUAUUUCAGAUGUUUAAAGGGCAAGAAAGGGCCACUUAGCCUUGCUGGAUGCGUGAUUGAAUCACCGGUGUUCCAUUCACUGCCGCUACACUGAUGGAACACUGAUGUAGCUGGAAAAAGUUUUUAGAAUCAGAAUUGCAGAAUUGUUUGAGUUUGAAGAGGCCCUUAAGGGCCAUCUGGACCAGCUUUCCCACAGUCCGUCAUCAGCGACACGUGCAGCGCAAUCAGAAUCAUGGAAUCACCAAGGUUGGAAAAGUCUUCCAAGAUCAUCCAGUCCAACCACCCACCCAUCACCAACAUUUCUUACUAAACCAUGUCCCUCAGUACAACGUCUAAACGUUCCUUGAACACCUCCAGGGACAGUGACUUCACCACCUCCCUGGGCAGCCCAUUCCAGCACCUGACCACUCCUUCAGAGAAGAAGUUUUUCUACUGUUUGCUUUUAUGUUCCGUCAUGCACGUUUCUUAAUUGGGCAUAAAAGUACCCAACUAAAUUAUUUGAAAAUCUAAACCUUUUGUUGUAUUCAGCAACACUUCCUUACUGUGUUGCAUGUCCACAUUCAGUCACUUGUAGAACAGUUUGCCUAAGCCUUUCAUGCAGAUGCAGUGAGCUGUGCAUUACAUUUCAUUCAUGGCCCUCUGUGAUGGGGUGAAUUGUUGUAGGUUUAAUUUAAAGGCUCCAGGUUAGCAGAGUAAUGUUUCAGAGAGAGACAGGAAGAAUGCCAAAGAGGUUCUCAUUUAAGAAUCUGUCUGAGGAGAAAAGAAUGAAAUCAAGUGUUCCAGAUGAUGCUGAGCCAUUCAGAAACACAGAAACGAGCUUUAUCAAUUUUAAGCUGUAGUGACAAUAUGCAAAGUGGAUAUACGUGAUGUAAUUAAAAGAUCUUUUCCAUGGAAA